rnacentral:misc_RNA from 1 species
AAUCCGCCCAUCCAUCAAAUCAAAACGACCAAAUCCAGAUCUUGAUGCGGACCUUACACUUUGCGUCCGUCGGCGUCAACUUCCCGCCGCCACCGCCGCCGGAGGAGGAGGAGGAGGAGGACGUCCGUACGACCGACCGCGGCGACCGCCCACGCCCACGGCCGCGGGCCGGGGCCGGCUCCGCGUCCGGCGCGGGCGCGGGCGCGGGCGCGGCCGCAGCCGGAGCCGGAGCCGGCUUGGCGAGCCCAACGGAGACCCCCGCGCAGCUGACGCGGACGUUGAUGCUCUUGGACUUGGACCGCCCGAUCUGGAACCCGACCUUGGCGUCCAUCUGCGCCGACAUCACGUGGGACUUCCUGGAUCUGAGCGCCGCCGCCUGGACGGGGUCGAUGGUGGACGCGGCGGUGGACGCGGCGGCGCGGAUGACCGUCGUGUUGCCCGCCGGGUGGAGGAACCCCGGGACCACGGCGUCGCCCACGUCCGCGCCGCCCGAGGCGAAGGACACCGCCAUGUCGCCGUAGUCGAAGGCGAUCUUGUCGUUCGGGUUCCGCGCCGUCACCGUGAACUCCACGCGGGAGGUGAGCGCGUCCGAGUCCGACACGUUCAGCGCCGCCAGCCGCACCGACGUCACCGCGAAGCUGGGCGGCCGCGGCCGGUACACCACGUAGAACACCCCCGCCGCGAUGGCGCCCAGGAACGCCAGCCCCACCAGCACCAGCGUCAGCCACAGGCAGCACGCGCAGCACCACCCGCGGGCGCUCCGCCCGGCACGCCGCGCCGGAGGACGCGACUGCGCGGGCCUCCGCCUGUACAUCGGCGGAGGGGGCACGCGCCCGCCGGGCACCAUGGACGGCGGCGCGGGCCGCGGAGGCCCCACGCCGCCGCCGUUCGCGGUGCCGUUGGUGGCCCGCACGGGAACCGGCUUCACGGCCGGCGCGUACGCCCGGUCGCCCAUUGCGCCUCUCGCUCUCGGCUUCUUGGGGAAGGGAUGGAGAAUGGAGGGGAAGGGGGUGACGGAUGAG